rnacentral:tRNA from 1 species
GGGUGUGAUUCAGUGGUAGAGUGCUUGCCUAGUAUGCAUGAGGUUCUGGGUUGAAUCCACAGUAUUGCA